UACGUAGGGUGCGAGCGUUGUCCGGAAUUAUUGGGCGUAAAGAGCUUGUAGGCGGUCUGUCGCGUCUGCUGUGAAAAUCCGGGACUCAACCCCGGACUUGCAGUGGGUACGGGCAGACUAGAGUGUGGUAGGGGAGACUGGAAUUCCUGGUGUAGCGGUGAAAUGCGCAGAUAUCAGGAGGAACACCGAUGGCGAAGGCAGGUCUCUGGGCCACUACUGACGCUGAGACGCGAAAGCGUGGGGAGCAAACAGG
rnacentral:rRNA from 1 species